CCAGAAAGAAGCUGCCCCCCAAUAACAAGGCUUUCACUGUAACAUCCAGAUCCAGAGGAAAAGACACAGAGAACUGCUCACUCUCAUUCCUGAUCAUCCCCACCACGUGCUGCUCAUCUCGGGACUUUACCUGUGGGCGAGAGACAGAUCUGUAUCACUGACACUCCAUGUACAGCGCCCCCGUCUGUAUAACUGACACUGCACGUAUAGCGCCCCCUGUCUGUAUCACUGACACUGCACGUACAGCGUCCCGUCUGUAUCACUGACACUGCGUGUACAGCGCCCCCUGUCUGUAUCACUGACACUGCACGUACAGCGUCCCGUCUGUAUCACUGACACUGCGUGUAUAGCGUCCCCUGUCUGUAUCACUGACACUGCGUGUAUAGCGUCCCCUGUCUGUAUCAGACACUGCGUGUAUAGCGUCCCCUGUCUGUAUCAGACACUGCCUGUACAGCGUCCCCUGUCUGUAUCAGACACUGCCUGUACAGCGCCCCCUGUCUGUAUCAGACACUGCCUGUACGUGUAUAGCGUCCCCUGUCUGUAUCAGACACUGCGUGUAUAGCGUCCCCUGUCUGUAUCAGACACAGCGUGUAUAGCGUCCCCUGUCUGUAUCAGACACUGCGUGUAUAGCGUCCCCUGUCUGUAUCAGACACUGCGUGUAUAGCGUCCCCUGUCUGUAUCAGACACUGCGUGUAUAGCGUCUCCUGUCUGUAUCAGACACAGCGUGUAUAGCGUCCCCUGUCUGUAUCAGACACUGCGUGUAUAGCGUCCCGUCUGUAUCAGACACUGCCUGUACAGCGCCCCCUGUCUGUAUCACUGAUACUGCAUGUACAGCCCCCCUGUCUGUAUCACUGACACUGCAUGUACAUCGCCCCGUCUGUAUCACUGACACUGUAUGUACAGCGCCCCCUGUCUGUAUCACUGACACUGUUUGUACAGCGCCCCCUGUCUGUAAAACUGCAUGUAUACACUGCGCCCCCGUCUGUGUCACUGACACUGCAUGUAUAGCGCCCCCUGUCUGUAUCACUGACACUGUAUGUACAGCGCCCCCCCUGUCUGUAUCACUGACACUGAAUGUAUAGCGCCUCUUGUCUGUAUCACUGACACUGUAUGUACACUGCCCCCUGGCAAAGCUUUCUACCUCAAAGUUGGAAUUCCCAAAUAUAUUGGUCUGAAAACUGGGUCCGAUGAUUAACAGCAGAACCUCGUCAGCAGGAUUUCGCAAUGAGAGAUGUGUAACAAACGAGUCCAGGUGUAACCUCACACUUCCAAGUAGGUCUCCAGUAAGACUAUAGACCUGCAGCUGUCACAGAGAGAGACAGAGAGAGAUUGCUGCUACGCAUUAAAAUAAGACAAUGAAAGAUUUCUAAUAUGCUUACAACAUGAGACUACAAGUCUUCACAGCCAGUAUUGGAGAACGCUCACUGCUCCUAUUGGCUCUGUUUCCUGACCUCAUCCCCAGUCUGUGUGAUUUCUGGCUGUCACCCUUCAUACUAAACAUGAUCUAAAUGCAAACAAGGCACUUUAUGCACAUUCUCACAGAGGACAAACAUUGCUAACGUGCUUUGUGUAAAUCCAGUCUGCUUAUGUCCAGAUAAAUAUGCCAUCCGUGAAAUCCACAGCACCGUCUCACCUGCCGCGUGCAGGUACACGCACACUCCUGGAUCAGUUCCAGAACAUCUCUGUCGCUGUUAUCGGAGAUUUUUACAUUAUACACCGGUCCACAACACUGAUACUCCUGCUUGGCCUGAAAUAAUCUCUGCCCCACAGGGUCCAAGACAUCGAACAUCCGACCCCAACCCUGGGACACAGAGACUGAGACAGAGAAACACAGAUUAUGUAACAAAAUAAUACAUAUUAAGGGUGAAAUUAUUAAACACACAAACUGCUAAAUUAAAGGGACACUCUUGUCACAAGACAAUUUUAUCUUAAAGCCGUUUGUGUAUCGAUCAUGCCCCUGCAGUCUCACGGGCUCAAUUCUCUGCCAUGUAGGAGUUAAAUCACUUUACGUUUACGGGUUAUACAGCCCUAGUCAUACCUCCCAUGGCUGUGACUGACAACCUGCAUGAAAGAACGGUUUCAUUAGCAAUCCGAUGUUAACUUGGGGCUCAGUGUUAAACUCCUACCCUGCAGACAGACAUUACUUCUCCAGAUUGGCAUUAUCUGUCAUUCGUAUUUAUUCUAUCUCGAUACUUUAAUUACAGAGGCCAGCGGGGAAAGUGGGUAUUCAUUUUACCUUCUAUAUAGAUAGCAGCGUUUAGCUUAUUAGGUGCCCUCGAAGGCACAGAUUUAGGGAUUACUUAGAACGAAUUAGUAUUGGGUGGUUUCACCAUCAGGUAUAUUUGUGCCCUUGAAGAUACAGAUUUAGGGAUUACCUAUGCCUUAGAUCUGCUCCACCUCAUAUUGUUUCUAUUCUCUCAAGGUAUCCUAUGCACAUUCUGCAAUCUACCUACUUAUCCUAAUAUUGCUCUAUCUAUAUACUGCUACUAUAGGGAUAUAUAUCCAUUUUUUAAGACAUUUAGGUGAUGGUCCCCUCCUUUUUGAGGCUCACCUAGUACUAUAGUCUCUUGCUACUAACGAGAUAUGCUGUUACUGCACAGAUGGCUACUUUGUUUCUUUGCUCUGUGUUGCACUUCCUAUUUAGGGACCUGGUUAAAUUGUUAAAUACUUUUCUUUACACAUUUCUCCAAUAUAGUAAUUUAGCAGUAUAUUCGCUCUUUUUAAUCCCGGUGGUUUUGCCAUUCAGAUUUCCUUCUUCUAUAUAGCAAUGGUACAGCGAAUUCUUUUCUAUUUUCUUUUUAUUACCCCAUUAUUUUCCCAUGCCUUUCAGUUACUCCCUUUUAAUUAUACCCAUUAAAUAUUAUAUUUUAAUAUAUUUUGUCUAUUCCAGUGAUGCUAUUAGGACAGAUCACAUUUUUCUGUUUUCCAAUUUUCUCCAAGGGUUACCCCGUAGUGUCUGUCCUAGAUACUUUCGAUAUAGUAUUUCGCUUCCACCUGUUCUUUUUUCAUCCGAUGUUAACUUACUUUACAAGUUUUUAUCUCUUGGUCUUUAAAUUUAACUUUAAUCACAUACAAUCGGAUCCUGCAAGGUCUAGCAAGCAAUUAACAGAGCAGGAGAUAAGAAAUUCAAAAUUAAACAGACUGUGUGUGGCAAACCUAGCCACUUGAACUAUAACUAGAGACUGUGCCUUUAAGGGUUGCCUACAGGUCUGGGGAGAUAUGCGCUUUAUUCUUUUUUUUUUGUAUAUAUCAUUUUUAUUGAGGGUUCAACAUCAUAGUAUUACACAGUAGGAUCUAAUACAUUGGAGCCGUAAGAAACGGGUACAGGAACAGAUCUGAGUGGCAAUUGAUUUCCAGUUACCUAAUUAUUCAAGCGAUGCUUCAGGGUGCCACAUAUACAACAGCUCCAUAGGCUGUUAUUCCGUAAUUGCUCUACUGGUUUCCUCAGAGUUGAGAGGUUUGCCAACGUGGCUAUAACCCUUGAUUUCUCAAGAAGAAAAAAAGGGGGGGGGGGAGGAUGGAAGUAGGUGGGAGAUGUCGGGAACUAGGGGGAAAAAAGAGGGGGGGGGGGUUUCGGGAUGCUCCCCUAUACAUGUGUAUUAGAGGGAGGUGUUCGUCGCCAUGCUGUCACGGUCAUCUACCAUUUGGACCAAAUGCCCUUAUACUUCAGUAGGGUACCACUAAUCGUGUGCGACAUUUCCUCAUACUGUUGGGUGAGAUUCACUUUGGUAAUUACCGACUGUAUGUCUGGUGCUAAGGUGGAUUUCCAUAGGGCAGCUAUUCGUUGCUUUGCAGCAAGCGUGAUGUGGGUGAUCAGUGUGGCCUCGUGGGCUGUUAUUUCGGGUGGCAUCAUAUGGAGCAGGUAGUGUUCAGGGGCAGGUGGUAGGUCUAUCCCUACUCUGAGUUUUAUCAGAUCUUGGAUUUGUUGCCAGUAUUGGCUGAGUGCAGGGCAGUACCAGAAUAUAUGGCUUAGGGUGCCUUCUUGUUGGUUACAGCGCCAGCACGUUGCCCGGGAGCCCGGGUAUAUUUCGGCCAGCCGUUGAGGCGUAUAGUACCAUCGAAGCCAUAACUUGUAGGCCGCUUCUACGUGGUCUAGGCAGUGUGUGGCUUUUUUUACUAAUGACAUGGCCCUCAUCCAUCUGUGCGGCUCAAAGGUACUUUUCAGCUCCCUUUCCCAAUGUAACAUGUAGGAUUGUUUUGUUGGCCUGUCUAAGUCUAAUAGGCGAUGGUAACAUAGGGACAAUGGCUUUUUGGGGGUUUUUUGGCCCAGGCACAUCGUGUCAAAACAGUUGUGGGGUUGUGUGAGCAUGGUUAGUUUUUUGACGUCUCCUAUUAUGUGUUUAAUACGAAUGUAUGUGAAGAUCUCCUUGUUAGGUAUGAGGUAUUUUUUCUGGAGGUCGGGGAAUGGUAGUAGACCAUCUAUUCCCAGGAGAUGUGAUAUUCUGGUCACUCCUUGUCCUAUCCAUCCCUGCAAGGGGAGGUCGUGAGUGUGGUGCUGGAGAGUAGUCAGCGGGGCAAGGGCUUCUAUGUUCCCACCGGUCAUUUUUGGGGCCCAUCUGAGCCACACCUGGAGUGAUCCCCUCGAUGUCGAGAGUAGCUUGGGAUAAUGGGGUUGGGCCUUUGUCGUGGUCCACAGUAGGUCGCCGAGGGAUAGAGGCGCGCUGAAUGCACUCUCUAGGUGGAACCACAUUGGGUAGUCUGAGGGAGCCAGAAGGCGUGCCAUCUGGGCCAGGUGUGUCGCUAGAUAGUAUUUGGUUAUGUGGGGCACACCCACCCCACCUCCUCCCAUAACCAUACUGAUGUUCGCCAGAGAUACCCUUGGUGGUUUCCGUUUCCAUAUGUGCGCAUUAAUAAGGCUUUGGAAUGCCCGGAGGGUGUACUUGGGGAGGGUAAUCGGUAGGGCUCUAAAAAGAAAUAGUAUUUGUGGGAGGAUGACCAUUUUGAUGGCAUUAUACGUCCUAGCCAAGAUGUGUUUUUGGUGCCCCAGCUAUCCAGCCGUCGUUCUAUGUCUCCCAUCAAUUUCCUAUGGUUAUGUCUUAUGAGUUUGGUUUUUGAGGGUGUCAGCUGUGUGCCUAAAUAAGAGAGGGUGUCCUUCCUCCAUUCGAAGGGGUGGAGUACUUUAAGAGAUUCAAGUUGGGAUCUGGGCAGGUUCAUGGGUAGCACCUGUGUUUUUGCUAUGUUGUUUUUAUAGUAAGAUACACGGCCGUAGUCGUGCAAAAGGUGCAGUAGAGUGGGGAGUGAGUCUGAGGGCCUGGUGAGAAAAAGGAGGAUGUCAUCCGCAAACACUGCUAGUUUAUGUUGUCCCGUUGGUGAGGGGACCCCCGCGAUGUUAGAGUUUGCCUUGAUUUUGUGGAGUAGGGGUUCCAUUGCGAGAAUGAAUAUGAGGGGCGAGAGUGGGCAGCCCUGUCGUGUGCCGUUCGUCAGAUCAAAGCGUCUAGAGACGAAGCCAGAGCUCAUGACAGUCGCCCGGGGGGAAGUGUACAGGGAUAAGAGUCCAGUCAGGAAUUGGGGCGGAAAAUUAAACUUGCGCAGGACCUCCGACAUAUAGCCCCAGUGGAGCCUGUCGAAGGCUUUCUCCGCAUCUAGGGCAACUAUAAGGCCUUGUAACCGGUCAGAGUCCAUGAGUUCCAUUAUGUCCAGGGCCCGUCUGGUGUUGUCCUCAACCUGGCGGCCCGGGACAAAGCCCGACUGCUCAGGUGAGACGAGUUGGCUUAGGAGGGGUCGGAUACGGUUUGCUAGGACCUUGGCGAACAGUUUGGUGUCGGCAUUGAGGAGCGAGAUCGGGCGGUAGUUUGCACAUAGGUCUGUGGGUUUGCCUGGUUUGGGAAUUGUGACAAUUGUGGCUUCCAACAUCUCUGGGGGUAUGUUACCCGUGACUAGAAUGUGGUUAAAUAAUGCCGUGAGGUGGGGGAGUAGUUGGUCCUCAAACACCUUAUAAUAGUGUACGGAGUAGCCGUCCGGUCCUGGGGCGUCUCGUAGUGCCCUGGUGAUCUCGGCUGGUAGGAUCGGGGUGGUCAUCGUUGCGGCCUGCGCGGUGGAGAGCUGGGGGAGAUGUAUACCCUCCAGGAAGGUGGCGAUGUUCUGAGGGGUGGGCUGGUGCUGGGUGGAAUCCCCGGAGAGAUUGUAUAAUUUUGCGUAAAAAGUAGCAAAUUCGUCUACAAUCGCUUUGGGGUUCAUGAUUUUGGUUCCAUGUUCAUCCUUGAUAUAGGGGAUUUUUACCUGGGAGCUUCUCGCCUUAAGCUGAGAGGCCAGCAGUUUACCAGCUCUAUUCCCCUGCCUAUAGUAAGUUGUUUUCAUCUUCCUAAUGGCUCUCUCUACCCGUUGCAUUUGUAGUGUUUCUAACGUGGAUCUAAUGUUUUGGACUUCGAGUCUAUGGGGUUCAGUGGGUGAGGCUUUGUGUCGUGAUUCGGCUAACUGUAAUUCCUUCAGUAGGGAGUCACUUUUUUCAGAUAGUUGGCGCUUCAGUUUUGUCCCCAUCUGUAUGAGUGCUCCACGGGUGACUGCCUUGUGGGCUAGCCAUGUCGUGGUGACGCUCGUGUGAUUGUAGUGAUUGACUUCGAAGUAAUGUGUUAGUGAUUUCUGGAUCUCAGAGGCCCUCUCAGGGUUAUCUAUGAGGGACUCAUUGAGCCUCCAUUGCCCCCGUCCUCGGACUGGGUGUAGUGUGGUAAAUGAUGAUGUGAGGGGGGCAUGGUCUGACCAGGUUAUCGGGGCAAUAGCGACCUCCGCUAGGGUAUCCAGGGUUUUAGUGUCGACCCAACACAUGUCGAUGCGCGAAUAUUGGUCAUGGACCUUGGAGUAAAAGGUGUAGUCCCUAGAGGCUGGGUAGAGUGCCCGCCAGGUGUCAUGCAGGUUAUGGAGAUGGAGGAGCGUCGUCAGUUUGUCCCCUAGGAGCUUGUCUCUUGGGUGGGAGCCCGGUGUCCCUGAUCUGUCUAGGUCAGGGUCUAACACACAGUUAAAGUCCCCGCAUAUCAUCGUCUGUCCCUUCUUUAGUUUGUCAACCUUUCUCAGUGCCUUUCGUAGGAAGUCGUUAUGCGCUUUAUUCUUAUGUAUGUGCUUGAUGUAUUUUCUGCAGAGACUGUAAUUACUGUUUAGCCGAAUGCCAAUGGUGGUGUAUGGGGAUUCCCGUUCGUUUCACGAACGGCACUUUGGAGGGCCGUUCGUGAGGCGAACGCGAUACCCCCUCAUAGCCCACACACUUAGAGGCGUGUGGCGCUAGUUAACCGAUUGCAACAUUGUUGCAAUCGGUAAUUAGAGGCUCUCCUGGGUGGCCGUCGUUCGACUACCGACCAUGCGGCGGUCGGCCAUCUUGGAUCCUUUGUUCCUCAGCGGGUCCGUGUUGUCGUACGCAUAGUAUUACCAAUAGCUAUUCGACGGCACGAACACCGCUGAGCCUCCAGGACGUUCGGGAGUUUCAGAACCGUGUUCACUAAAAGUAAUCGGUUCUUUUCGUAUGUUUUGAAAGAAAUGUGUUUUCUGUGCGGCGUUCGGUUAUUCUGGCUGGGAUCUGAGCGGCAAUCUCACGAAUGAUGCGCCCAGACCCCAGCUAUCUACCGAACGUCCAUUCGUGCAAAUCCACCGUGUAUUUUAAAAGUUAUAGAUUUUUGUGUGAAUUGCCGGUUCUGCUGCACGAGGGGAUAAUCCCCUUAACGGUGCAUUCUGGGAGGAUGAUCCCUCUCGUGCAGCAAUGCCUGAUGGGAGAAAUAUGUUGUACUGUAAGUCCCCCAUGUAGUCCCCUCUGGGAGUGCCCCUGGGGAGGGACUCAGGAAACCCCUUGCAUGGGGACUUGUAUAAAUUGUCGUGCCGAUUAAAGGAUUGUCAGUUGACUCCCAAAACUGUGUCUCGUCCGGUUAUUGGGAGGUUGGGGAUAUUGCCUUGUUGUUGUCAGCGCUUGACUGUGGAUUCGUUUCUGGACCAGCGGAAUUCGUGGAUUUAUUAUUGGCGUUCCGCUACACUGUGUAAUAAGGGAAGUGUAAACAUAAGCUCUUUCUUAUAGGAAGUGUUUACGAAGGCUGUGAAAGUGUGCAGGGAGGUGUGACUAGGGCUGUAUAAACAAAGUUAUUAAACUUCUGAAUGUCAGUGAAUUGAGCAGUGAGACUGUAGGGGUAUGAUCUAUACACCAAAACUGCUUCAUUAAGCUAAAGUUGUUUUGGUGGCUAUAGCGUCCCUUUAACCUUCAAGAAGGUUCUGGUAACACACACACAUUUUCAUCAAAUUAGGAUGUUAUCGAGUGCAGCAAUGUUUGCUCUAAGCCAAGGAUGUCUUGCGUCUAGAUCAGGGGUAGGCAACCUACGGCACUAGUGCCAUGCACGGCACUCAAGGCUGCUAGAGCCAAACAGGCUCUGGCCUAUCAGGAGUCCCAGUACAACUUCAGAUAUAUGCUAAUACGAAGAGGUGGUGAAGGACAAUUUAUGCCUAUCCUCAAUUUAUGCAUUGCAGCACGUAGAGGAAGUGAUCUCAGAGCACUUCAUUCCAGCACUUGUGAAUGGGAAUCAACACAGUAGUAGAGAAACCUGCAGUUGUUGUUGCAGCUCCUGUCCUUGACCUGUACCUGGCCGGCCUGCUCCCCACUGGAACCCAGGGAAUCCACCCACACUGCUAGAUGUACACAGAAAUGCAGAAAGACCCUCCCCUCAUACAAAUAAUACGGACAGCCCACACACAAACAUACACACAAUCCGCACAAACGCAACACCUCUAACAAUCCACAUACAUGCACACAACCCCACAUGCAGCUCUCACAUGCUAUACCCCAAACAGCCCCCACACAUACACACACUACCAAACACACAAGGUGACAUUUCCAUCCACACACAAUUCCACAAGCUGCCCCAAUACACAGCCCACAUUCAUAUGUAUCAUACACAAUACCACAAUCUACUCAUGAACAUAUACAAUAUAAUAGCUCAUAUACGCACAAAUACAACGAUACAAAGCAAUUACAGGAUAAAUAAUACAAGCAGAAUACGGCAGCAUACACACCUCAAUUUAAAAAAAUAGGACCGGCGCGCUACGGGACAUCACAAUCCUAUAUCGGCACAGUGCUGCUAAAAGGUUGCCUACCUCUGGUCUAGAUCAUGUGGAUUUAGAGGUCAGUCCUUUUUUCAUUACAUAAAUCGUUUAUGUGUCGAUUCAAUAUACAAUAUUAUUGUAACUAACAGGAAUGUGUGGAAUUCAGUGCAGUGACCCCAUAAACACUGGAAUCCAGUCAGAACAAUUCGUAUUCAUGAUAACAAGCUCAGAACAUUACAGAGUUGGGUUUAGGAAGAGAAAGUAAGAAAUUCAGAAACCCCAGCGGCGAAUUCAGGAGGAGAAAGAUUGAGGGACGAGAGCAGGCGAUAUAAUGAAAAGUCUUACAUUUGGCCCGCACGGUCAUCUGAUUUAUCUGGGAAGAAAAUGAAUAAAAAUGUGAUUAAUAAACAUAUAAAUGCAAAUCACGUGACCUGCAUACGAUCGUUCACCCUGUCAGCACAAUAGCACCCUUUAUUUAGCCCCAUCUUGUUUCUGACUACCAUCUGACACCCGCACAUUGUAACCUAUUUGUAGAGUAAAACAGGUUUUCUGCAUUCCGAGACGUGUCACUCAGGACGAAUGCGGGAAAGUCCGUGCAGGUUACACGUUUCAUUCGUGCAACUCGGUCAUUGUGUAUUUUGCCAAAGGGAAUGUUGGUCUGUACCUGUUAGAGCUAGAAAGCUUAGUUUCAAGACACUUAAUACACAUACACACAUCUUGUAGCAGCCUAUAAAAUAUGACCCAUAGUACACAUUGAUAAUCUUCAUAUGGCCGUUUAACACCCCUUGUGCACUGUUCGACACUAU